CUAUUACAACUGCUCUGCCAUGGUAAGCAAGGCAGCUCGCCAGGAGAAGCGGUUUCAGGACUAUAAUGAGAGGUGCACUUUCCAUCACCAGGCGCGGGAGUUUGCCGUGAACUUGCGGAACCGGGUGUCGGCCAUCCAUGAAGUGCCACCGCCCAGAUCCUUCACCUUCCUCAAUGAUGCCUGCCAGGGACUGGAGCAGGCUCGGAAGGUGGUAGCGGGUGGGGGAGGAGGGCAGGGAGGGUGUGCCAAAGGGUCUGGGGGGCUUGGCUGCUUUCAUCGGACUUGCCUGGAUGAAGGGAAUGAGGAGAGGGCAGGCGGGAGAGCUGAUGGGAGCCCCUGCAGGUGCUGGCCUACGCCUGCGUGUACAGCUUCUACAGCCAGGACGCGGAGUACAUGGAUGUGGUGGAGCAGCAGACAGAGAACCUGGAGCUGCACACCAAUGCCCUGCAGAUCCUCCUGGGUGAGCCACCCCUGCCAGCCAGGCCCUCCUCCUGCCUCCUCCCCUCUGCUGCACAGCCCGGCCCCUCCCAGACAGGUCAAGCGGCACCCCUACCUUCCCUC
rnacentral:sRNA from 1 species